rnacentral:rRNA from 1 species
CCCUUAGAUGUUCUGGGCCGCACGCGCGCUACACUGACGGAGGCAACAAGCCUAUCCUUGGCCGAGAGGUCCGGGUAAUCUUCGAAACUCCGUCGUGAUGGGGCUAGAUGAUUGCAAUUAUUCAUCUUCAACGAGGAAUCCCUAGUAAGGGCGCGUCAUCAACGCGUCCUGAUUACGUCCCUGCCCUUUGUACACACCGCCCGUCGCUCCUACCGAUUGAAUGGUCCGGUGAAGCCUCCGGAUUGGCGCGCACCUCGGUGCCGCCGAGAAGUUGGCUAAACCUUACCAUUUAGAGGAAGGUGAAGUCGUAACA